UCUCUCUUUUAGAGAAGCCUGGGAAAUGCCCAGUUCCAAAAGAAGGCCCAAUUAUAGCACAACCUCCACAAUGCUCCUAUGAUCUCGAUUGUCCCAGGAACACGAAGUGCUGCAGCUGGGAAUGGACCAAGAAAUGCCUUGAUCCUGUUUAAGGGCUGGCCUUGGAGGAGGCCUUGAUCCAUUGACAGUGACCACCAGAGAAGUCUGGCCGGAGCUCCUCUGCCCACCUCUGCUGCUCCAUCCAAGUCCACAUCCUGCCCUGCACCAUCCCCACUUGCCCCACUCAUGAGGGUCCCAAUUCUGCGUUGGUAUCUCUCCCCCCUCCCCCAUUAAUAAUAAAUGGACCAGCCUCCUGAA